rnacentral:rRNA from 1 species
CCUACGGGGGGCAGCAGUGGGGGAUAUUGGACAAUGGGGGAAACCCUGAUCCAGCGAUGCCGCGUGAGGGAAGAAGGUUUUCGGAUUGUAAACCUCUGUGGAGGGGGACGAUAAUGACGGUACCUGACUAAGAAGCCCCGGCUAACUACGUGCCAGCAGCCGCGGUAAUACGUAGGGGGCAAGCGUUAUCCGGAUUUACUGGGUGUAAAGGGAGCGUAGACGGCAGGGCAAGUCUGGAGUGAAAGCCCGGGGCCCAACCCCGGGACUGCUUUGGAAACUGCCAUGCUAGAGUGCUGGAGAGGUAA